UUCAAAAGGAGGGAGUUUCAAACCUAUUUAAGCCAAGCCUCUGGCCUGGAAAAUUCUCUUUGGCUGCAGUGGUGGGAUCAUCGGGACCUUGCUAUGCUGACUAGCUGGUGUCUGUUUCCUCAUCUGUUUGGCCCUAUUUCUGCUUCUUGGGCACAUUAAAAUGUGUGAGGAUGUUGGACAAGCAGAGCAAUAUGUCAAGAACUUAUACAUACAGAUGCUGUAACUACUGUCACUGCACAAGCUUUCAAUGGAGAGGCCUCAUCCACACUGAAGUUUCAAAAGCACUUAUGGACUGCAUUAAGGAUCCUCACUGGAACAAACUUCUAAACAACAAAACAUAAAAGAUACUAAAUAGAAUACAACAAGGAUAUUUGUGUCUUCUUUAGCUACUGUAUUGUACUUCUAGUAGAAAACCAUUAAAAUGGCAUCUGUGUCAACAUAUAUUUGA